CCUAUCCUCAAAACUGUACCAUCUUAUAAAAAUGAUAAGAAUUAACAUGUGAAAACCUUACACAAACUUUUUUUUUAAACAGUUUAAGGUAACAAUAACAGAGCAGGACACUGGAAUAAAUGAUCAACAGCAACAUUUUAUAAAGGAAGAAAUAGUUUCUUGAAGGAGGUAAUCCCAUCAGAUUCAUAUUGAACAUCUUCUCAAAUGUGAUCAUCUCUGAAGUUUAUCUGCAUGUGUGUACCUCUGGAAGGUGCUGUCAAUACAUUUGGGAAAAGGGAAUGAGAAGCUUGACUUGUUCUCUUGUAUGCAAUAGAAACUGUGAAAUUGAU
rnacentral:lncRNA from 1 species